rnacentral:rRNA from 1 species
UUUGUCGGAGAGUUUGAUCCUGGCUCAGGACGAACGCUGGCGGCAUGCCUCAUACAUGCAAGUCGAGCGGUCUUUAAGAAGAAGGCUUGCCUUCAUCUUAAAGAUAGCGGCGGACGGGUGAGUAACGCGUGGGUAACCUGCCCUAAAGUAGGGGAUAACAUCUCGAAAGGGAUGCUAAUACCCUAUAAUGUCCUCAUCUCGCAUGGGA